GCAUCUAUAAAUAUAUCAACAGUAUAUAAAUAUCAUUUGAUUAACCAUACAAUAAUUUUCAGGGUGUUACAAUGUAGCAGGAAGAGGAACAUCAGGAACUGAAAUACUAACACGGAAACAAUACGACUUACAUAGAAAAACAAGUUGUAACAAGGAACCAACACCAGAACCAACACCAGAACAUGCAAAAACCAUUAACUGGUGAGCCGGUAAAGGUGGGAUUCAGAUACACUGCUGUAUACAUCGAGGACCACAAAGAAGAGACCUACAAUGUGGAGAUCUUCCACAUAAUGAGUUAGUAAUUGUCCCUUAUCUGAACUUCAUUAUUUUCGUCUGUGAAUGAGUUAUUUUACACAACUCUCUC